rnacentral:rRNA from 1 species
UGCAAGUCGAGCGGUAGAGAGGUAGCUUGCGUACUGAUCGUGACGGCGGACGGGUGGGUGAUGCUUGUGAGUCUGCCUGUUAGUGGGGGAGGGAUUUCAAAGGGAAUGCUAAUACCGCACACGUCCUACGGGAGAAAGCAGGGGGGGGUCGGACCGUGCGCUAGUAGAUGAACGUGCCUCGGAUUAACUAGUUGGUGGGGUAAGGGCCUACCCAGGCGACCAUCUGUACCGGGUCGGAGAGGAAGAUCCACCACACUGGGACUGAGACACAGCCCAUACUCAUACGGGAGGCAGGAGUGGGGAAUAUUGGACGAUGGGCGCAAGCCUGAUCCAGCCAUGCCGCGUGUGUGAAGAAGGCCUUAUGGUUGUAUAGCACUUUAAUCGAGGAGGAAGCUACGUUAGUUAGUACCUAGAGAUAGUGGACGUUACUCGCAGAAUAAGCACCGGCUAACUCUGUGCCACCAGCCGCGGUAAUACAGAGGGUGCAAGCGUUAUUCGGAUUUACUGGGCGUAAAGCGCGCGUAGGCGGCUAAUUAAGUCAAAUGUGAAAUCCCCGAGCUUAACUUGGGAAUUGCAUUCGAUACUGGUUAGCUAGAGUGUGGGAGAGGAUGGUAGAAUUCCACGUGUAGCGGUGAAAUGCGUAGAGAUCUGAGGAAUACCGAUGGCGAAGGCAGCCAUCUCGCCUAACACUGACGCUGAGGUGCGAAACAUGGGGAGCAAACAAGAUUAUAUACCCUGGUAGUCCAUGCCCUUAAACGAUGAUCUACUAGCCGUUGUGCCCUUCAGCCUUAGUGCCCACUACAACAAUAAGUAAACCGCCCGGGGGAGUACCGGUCGCACGA